ensembl:lncRNA
UGCUUACAACUCUACUUCCAAGGGCAUGCAGUACAUUCAGUUUGGAAAGCCGCAUUACUCAUCCACUGAGAAGAUCAUGGAGAAGUCUAUGCAACUCUGGUUACACCACUUCUUCUCCACAAGAUAGAGUCAUUGCUUGGUUACAUCUAACAUUUACUGUGUAAGUUUCCAUGGAAAUAAAUCGGAGGCAUUACUUUUGGAGCAACUAUGCGGCCCAAGAUAAUUUGUCUUGACUCAGUGUGAUCCAGGCAAGCCAAAAGGUUGCACACCCAUGAAAUAAGCCAAGAAAGUACAUGGACUGCAAGAAAAUUCUUUUUGGUCUACUGACAUCCCUGUUUAAUUAAUAAGGUUUUGUCCUCUUCACCAGUCACAAAAAAAUAUUUGUUUGGAAUUUGGUAAACUGAAGUGGAAGUGUCCUCGCCGCUGAGAAUUUACACUGGGACCAGAAUGAUGCCUGCUCUUCCCUCACACAAGGAUGCAGAGCCUAUCGAAGGAAGGGAAUUACAAAAUGACAAGGAUCAUAUGAGCCACUUGGUGCAGUACACACAGAGCAGCUAAAAUAACCAGAAGCAGAGAAGUCAGUGAACAAGGGGUGAUGCCAUCUCUGAGACACAAAGUUAUAACAGAGUAAGCUGACAUUAUAAAGUGGCUGGAGAAGCUGUGUACUUCCUACAGCAGUAGAGGAGCAUGAAGUGCAAUCCUCCAUCAUUUUUGAGGAGAGAAACUCCGUCUGCAAGCUGUGAAAGCAAACUGGUCGUGUGAUUGCUGUCUGAAGGAGUAUCCUUUGAUACCUAUUGAUUCAAUUGAUUUCAUUUUGUGGAAUGGGUUGGAAAGGGCUGAUCUUUGUCUUCUGUCACAAGGACUGGGAAUUAAAUCAUUCUGUCGCCUUGGGCUCUGAUCAUGUUAAUUCCACAGCCAACAGGCAAACAUGGGCAUGGUGCCUGGCACAGUGGUGAUCUGUACUGUCAUUCAGAAGAUGAAACUGUGCGACAUUCACUAGGAGCCAACUGAAAAGUCACCGGAGGCACCCUGUGGCCUUUUCUUUUGAUGCAUAAACAGAUUUUACUGGAAGGGGGGAGAGUUGCCCAUUGCACCAGAUCAACUCUGCUUUUUCACAUCACUGCUUGGUUGCUGAUGUUGGUCCCUGGCACAGGGCUCUUCAAUUUUCAUCAGACUACUAAGAAUCCCCUCAGUAUUUCAAUGAGAGCAUUUAGGAUACUAAGAUAUAUCUGGUUUGCUUUGGAGUUUUUAUUGUUGUUGCUGAUUUUUUCCAAUCUGUGGAAGGAACUGUCACUAGGAAACCACUGUGGUACGGGAACUAUAUGAAUUCUGCAGUCUUCUUCAUAUCUCUUUAUCAAGUGAUAGAUACAGCCUGUCCACUCCAUUCUUUCCCUUUUUCCUAUUCUGUGACAGCAAAUAAAGACACCAGCUAAAGCCGGUUGUGGAGAUUAGGGCUGUUUUCAGCUCACCUUCUUAGCAAAACAAGGCUUACAUGCUUACUCUGCAUGUAAUCUUAAUGUCUUAUGAACACUUCUAGCCAAUCUCUCCCAAACAUAUCAGAAAAGCUGAGUUACCAGCACACUUACUUCCUACAUUUUCUUCCAGUUCAGUCAAAAGGAGCAGCCCAAAAAAUCAUCAGCAGCAUUUUUCUGCUGUAAGUGGGAAAGGUAGAAAAACAGCAGGAGAACUUUAUAUUUGCACAAGGAGAUAAUAUAAAUCUCACUUUCAAUCACUUAGUAUCCAUUCACUGAGAGAUGCACAUCCACAAGAAAGGAGGUGCGCAGCAACCCACGUUUUCUUAUGUGAAUACUUGUCAACUAGUAGACAAAUCAAACAAGUCAGUUGGUUCUUUGCAGGCUUACACUUGUGGCAUUGAACUUAAAUCAUUCCUAUUUCUGAAUUCUGGUCCUGAGUUUAGGUAAUGAUUUCUUUCUCAGUAGUGACUUUCUGUACUGGUUGAAACAUAAACUACUUAAAUGACUGUACUCAAUACUUAUUUAUUGUCUCUUGCAGAAUUAUCUUUCCCAAACCUUUCUUGAACUAUAAUGUUAAUCUGGGGAGCUCUGGAUGUAGUCCAUCCUGGAUGUCUGCUCCAGAUAAUACAAAAAAACCCUGAAUUUUUCAUAAUUCUUUCUAUACAUGCAUGUUGGUUUCUCAGGUAUGUGAUUUAUGGACUCUUUCAGCAUCACUUUCUGCUUUUGAGAAGAUACAGAAAAAAUAGCAGCCCUAAUGCAAGGGGAAGAUGUGAGGAAAAUCAAAAAGCUUUGUGUUCCCAGAGCAGUAAAAAAAUACCUCAAAAUGUUUUUCUUAAGAAAACAGUUUCUGGCAUGACCAGGAUGUUUUCAACUCAACUUUCUUCUACCUUGUUUAUACAGGUGAUCAUCAGUUUUCUUCAGCUUCUGGUCUAUCAGUCUCAGAGGAUAUUUACAGAUCGUAUAAUAUUGAAUUAGAAUCAUGGAAGUGUUAAUGUGCAAUAUAUGCAACAGAAUGGUGGCUACAAAUUAACACCAGUGUCCAAUCCUUCAGAAAAAAUAAUAGAAAUAUGCUACUGCUGAGAUUUAAUGCAAAGUGAAUGAAAAGAAACAGUGACAAUACUUCUCCAUGCUUUCAGAAUUAAGAGGAUUCUAACACUAAUCAAAACCUUUCACACAUUCUUUUUUCCCAUGCUGAAAAUGGAUCAAAGUUUGAAAAUACAACUCAGAGAUUAUUAUGUUUGCAUGCGUAUUUUACAAUCUAUAAACAAGACCUUUACUAAGCAAGCAACUUCUCUAUGGAAAAAGUUCAAUUUCCCAUAAAGAAUUCACGGGAAGAUCUGUAUGUUCAAAAUAUACUUUCUAUUUAUUUCACCCCAGAAAUUCAUCUGACCAAUUUCUUUUCCAGGAAGGGGGAUAAGUGAAAACAUAUGCUUGGUCAUUCUGUAUUUUUUUAACUUCUUGAAUUUCAGCAGUAAGGAGAUUAACUUGACUCAGUAUAAACUAGGGAUGGAAAGAUCUUUGAUGCAGCUGUGAAACUUUCUGCUUCUUUCAGAGCUGAAUGAACACAGCAACAGAGACAUCUGCCACAUCUGCUUCUGUUAUAAAGCAUCGAGUAUAUUGAGGAAGAUAAUGCUUGGUCAUGGUACAUGUUAAUAUCACCUACUGACAAAGCAGGGUUUUCUUAUGUUCAGUUAUGUACACUGACCUGGUAUUAAGUGGAAGGAUCACUGCCCUUUUACAACCUUUUGUACUUGUUCAAUAGCUUUUGAUUCUGUUUGGAGAACCCGUUUCUUGUUAAAAACUUGAGCAACCAAAUCCAUCCUCCUUGAGCAUUGCUGCUCAUAUACCACAGAAUCACCAAAUUCUUGUGGGCUUUCCAAAGCCUUCGUGAGCUAAUGGUGGUCUCCCAUGAUUUCCUUCAAAAUCCGCACAACUGUAAUAAGCCAGAUACCUUAGACUUACAAGGACAGCAUUCACUAACAGCUUUGAAAUGUGUAUACCCAUUGCUGCUUUGAAAACAAGGCCAAAACAGCAUUUUAUUUUUACUGAACAUUAUUAGAGAGCUCUCCACUAAGCCUGUCCAGAACUUUUGUAUUAUUUGAGAUGAAACAAGAAGAGGAAGCUUCUUCUCUAGAAAUUUUGUACUAGUGAGGUUUUUUUAUUCAGCUGAACCCAAAAGCAGAAUUUGGAUCAGAGGUUUUAUUGUAAAAUCUCCAUUACUUCCUGUAGAUUUUCCUAUUGCUGUGCAGCCCAAUUGAGCAGAUGGUAUUAUUCAUCUAUUUUUCUUCUUUGAACUGCGACUGUAACUGUCAUUUGUCUUCUGACAGUCUUAUCUUCCUGUUUUUGGUGGGGUUUUUUUUGUUUGUUUGUUUGUUUGUUUUUCCUAAAAUAUUUGGUGAUCUGGUCAAAAGCAUGCUGAGAAAUCGUUACGUGUUACUACCCUGGGUAAAUUGCCUUCCAAGUUCUGCAGGUGAAUUUCAUCUCUAAUCAGAUUCCUGCUGCAUGACAUCAGCUGUAUAGAAUUCAAAUCAAUACAAAAGUCCUCUUGCAGGUUUGAGCUCCCUCUGAAGGAUCAGCCAUUUCAUUUAUCAGCUAAAUGAUAUACCUGAUAUAUACUUGUUGCUGGAAUAUACCUGGGAUGGUCUGAGUGACAGUCUUCAUUUCUGGUUUGGAGGAGAUUCAAGAAGGAAACAACAACCCAAGAGCAAGGAGGUUGUGAAUCAGCCAAACCUCUGGGAGACAUCAUGCACAGAGGAGGAGACACCAAGACUCCAUGCUCAGGAAAACUGAUAUACUUCUGUUAGUAGUCUUGGGUCUCAUUUGCAUUACCAUGCAUUACCAGUACUUAGAGAUAUGUUUAACUUUAAGGACAUGGGUGAUUGUGGUCUGAAAGCAGCAAUGUGGUUUUAUCUGCUUAUGUGCUCUAUAUUCUCAAAGGGAAACUGUUCCCACUUUUCAGAAACAAAACCUAAGAAUGUGACUGGGAAAAUGAGCCUGGGACAGAAAAAUCAGACCAACAGUCUAAAAAGAUAUAAAAUAAAAUAAAAUAAAAUAUGUCACAGCUUAUUGUAAAAAAAAAUCAUUUCUAACUAAGAAAAAGUGACUUGCAGGACUAAUUUGAGAAUAUAUUUGUCAUAAGCCAGCAAAGAUGAGCCAAGCUUUUUAAAUCAGUCCAUCCCUGCCUCCUUUGGCUGGUAGCAAGGAGAAAGAAACUUGGUGUGCAGCUGGAAGACUGAUGCCAAGCUAAUCGAAUGUGCGUGCAGAGGGAGCAGCAGAUGACAAGGACAGGAUUGGCAGGAUGUCGCCAGAUUGUUUGAUUAGCAAUGGGAUGGCUCAAGUGCUCCCUGUCCUACCAGGAACUUGGCACAGAUGCUGACACGUGACUCAGUCCCCAAGCAGUUGUUCUCUGCAGCACUGUUUGAAAAAGGGCUCUGCUUCUCCAAAAACAGGAAGGGUAUUAACAAAAACAAAAACAAGGAUGAGAAAGAAAGGCUAUGAGACUGUGUCUAUAAAUGUUAGAUUCUGGCUAUUCUUUCUGUUAAUACCACCCAAACUUCAGCUGAAAUGAAAUAUUUGACUUGGGAUAAAAAUCAGAUAGUCUGAAAUUUAACCCAGCAAAAGUAAUAUGAGGGAGCAUUGAUGAGUGGGUAUUUUCCUUCCCCUACAGUUUCGCCAUCCAUGUUAUUGCUUUCUUUCUGUGUGUCAGUUUAGACCAACCUGCCACAAAAAAAAAUAUUAUUUUUUUUCCUAGGAGACAAAUAUGGUGAGAAAGGCAGCAACACUAUCUUCUAACACCAAAGUUGCAAAUCUAUUCUGGUGAAGCUAAGUGAAAAAUGAAGCAAACUGAUUUCAGAGACAUAUACGUAGGCCUAUGGAGAAAGCCCCAAGCAUAAAAACUAGCUCUCAGCACGAAACAUGGGUAGCAAUUGCCUUUGAUUACUAACAGCAGGUUUUUCAGUCUAUGGACAAACGUGUAGAUUAUGAGCAAUUUUCUGAGGCAUCUAAAUCAGCAUAUUCAGAUAGAAACAAAUUUUUGAUGCUAUGGCAUCACAGCUACAGUCCAAAUUACAUUGCACAGAUGUACAUGUAAAUAUCUUACUUGUACUGAAGGCAGCUCAGAAAAAGCAGGGAAUCUGACAUCUCCCCUGAGAUUUUUAAGAUAGUUCAAAUGAUAAAAUAAGUAAGUUCCUCAGAAACAAGAUGGGUGUUGGUGACAGUUUGUACAUUCAGCACAACAAAUAAUCAGCUGCUAUGAAUUUGGAUAACCCUGUUAAAGCCAACAGAACAGAAACAGUUUUUAUCAAGUUACAGCUAGUCCAGAGCAUAUACAUGAGACUUGUACAUAACAAUACUGCAGAUAUAUGGAGAAACUGUAAUGCAGACAGCAGCUUUAUAGUGGGCUUUCAUAUGCCUAUAUACUUCUAAACUGUAUGUGUAACUACAUUCUUGUCAGUUCUUCAGCCUUUUCAGAUGGAUAUGUUACUUCUCUCUAACGUGUCAGUUUUCUGACUAACCUGUCAUAACAAUCUAUGACACCACUCUCUAACAGCUUACCACUGCUUUACAUGAAAUGUGAGGGUUUGUCUGCAGUCACACAUAGGAAUCAUAUUCCAAAAUAAGAGUGUGGGGGAGACGUCUGUAAGUAUAGAUGUAAGCGCAUACGUAUGUAUACGUAGACAGACACACAGAUCCAAAAUAUCUGCCUGUGAAUCAUUGGAAUUACAAUCACAGAGAAUGAAGCAGCACAAGAUGGGAUAUUUCUCCUGAGCUGCACACUGUUUCUCAGCUUUGUGGAAAACUCCUUUUAUGCUGUGACCACAAAUGAUGCACCAUCAGUGGAGUGAUACCGUGUUGCUGAGAAAUGAACUGCUUGUUUGAAUGGACUUUGCAUUCGUUAUAGAAAAGGAACAACUCCAGUUUUAGAUAGAUUCAUUUAUUUACUUUGUGCUGUUUCCAUGACUCAUAAUCCUUUUAAUAAAUCAAACUAAAGAACAUAACAUCAAAUCAGAGAAUCAUAGAAUCGUUAGAGUUGGAAGGAAUGCUCAUAGGCCAAGGAGGUGCAAGGAGAUACAGGUUCUUGAUUUGAGUCCCUCUGGAACACUUGAAAACAUAAAAAUUGUUCAAAAUAUCAUCUUUCCAAAUUAAUAUGUGUUCUUUUUCUGUAUUGUGCACACCGACAUGACAUGAUUCCUGGAAUUUCCUGCUGAUAGAACAUGUUUCCAAAGAUGAGAAGAGAUCCAAAACUUUACAUUAGCAUAGUUUAAAUUCACAAGUCCAUGGCCUCAGCCUACAGACAAUGAUGCCCCAGUCUCACUUGCAGCUAUUUCCAUUAGACGAGUGUGGCUGAUGGGUCAGAAUGGAAAAACUCAUGGGAAAAAAAGACAACUUAAAAUCCAAAAGAUAAUGUUGGAGGUUUUAUCUGUGCUUCUGACAAUACACGGCUGUUAACUCUACUAAUCUGGGCUUUCUCUAAGGGCUGGCAGGGAAUUCAACAUAACCAAAUCUACUCUCUCUGAGGUGCAGGAACUUUCUGGAGCUUAUAAUGAAAGUCUGGAUGCUCAUGGAAAUCAAAGCUGCAUGCUCCUGCCCACAGAAGAGACAGGCAGCAUUGCCACUGCCCUGUGGCCCCAGAAAUAGAAUGGAAAUCUUUGAGGGACCUAAGAGAGAGGACUACAGCGAACACACAAUCUGUGUUUCCUGUAAACUUCUUCAUUUUCCCUCCAUCCUACUUUCAAAUGAAAACAGUCCCUACUGUUCUGAUGUAGGGGAAAAGUCUUUCCUGAUACAUAGCUUAAACUUAAAUGCUUAAAAGAGAAGGCAAACAGGUCCCAGAAAGGCUUAUCUGCAUCACAGAGGACACUAGUACCUCCUACCCCUCUCUUUCCAGUUGAAACUUAUCUUGGAUGUUUCAGAAAAAAAAGAUGAAGAGAAAGAGAAAAACAGCCAAGCAUUGUGUAAGGAGGUGUGAAACAUGUUUCUGGCCUUUACUUUCAUUCUGUGCUACCAUCUCAAAAUCUUUUCCUUGUUUCUGGGCAUCCUGUGUGACCCUUGUAAUUACAGUGAAUGUCUCUCAGGCAACAUUAACCCCUGCCCUGAUCCAUCUCUAACAAUGAUUGCAUUAAAAACUUCACUGUGUCUGCAGCUAUUUAAUCAUUCAUCACCUGGAAAGUGGUACUGCUCUACUGCUCUGUGACUGUGGCCAUUAGUGGUGACAAGCAAGGUCUUCCUGAAAUUAAGAAUAUGACAGUAUGAGCUGGCUUAGAUUCGGCCUUUUACAGAUACAUCCAAUAAUGAAAACUCCUUCACAUCGGGACUGUCCAAAGCCCGCUGACGUCAGUGGAGAGAUCUGAUCUCAGUGGGCUUUAAAUCAGACUCUAUAGCUAAGGCUUCCAAAGCAGCUGGGGGGAUUCAGGCACGUAUCUUUCAUUAAAGUGAGGGUAUAUUAAAGCAAAUGGAAGAUAUGUGUCUGAAAUCCCCUAGACUGCUUUGAAAAUCUAAAAUACUGUGCAAGCUGUACAGCUUUCUCUAUAAAAAUAGCUGCCAAAUCUAGCUUUGGUAAAGGCAAUAGAACUGCAUUAAAAGAUCCGCAGAAAGGCCUGGUCCCUCUGAUCCUUUAGGAAAACAGAGAGAAGGAUGGCCAGAGUGCUUUAUUUUCAGCUUUAAACCGUUCCCACGUCAAAGACAUUUGCUCGAGCAAUUUAUGGGAAUGGCAUAGUAGCCAAAAGAAAAGUAAUGCUACUCUUGUCUACGUAGAUGUCACACUUAUAUGGCUCAUCAAGCUGGGAUCAGGACUGCAACAUCUCUCGUGGACAUUAAGGAAUAUUUGAUGUGGGUUUCUCCAUGAGCCUAUGUGCAAGGCUGAUCUGGUUGCAAAUUCAUGUUGAUAAGGCUGAGCCCAAGACAGCACCACCAUCAUUCCAACAGCUCCUCUCAGGAGAAGUCUUGGUAUAGACCCUUCUCCUCCUGUCCAGCUUUCAUGGGGACACAGCACUGUACCUCUCAGCCCCACGUAAGAACUCCCUCUGUUUUCUGAGAAGCAGUGAGACAAGCCUUCUUUCCUAUAGCCCACAAUGACAAUCUACUUAUUAUUCAGACACAGCCUCGCCUAAUUACCUUGUUAUUUUGUGGCAGGCUAGAACAAGGUAGCACCAUUAAGUCAAGAGUCUUCAUUUUAGCCAUCCACUGCCUUCAUUCUUGAUUUAGAAGGCAGUGGCACAAGAGUGCUCUCAGUCACACACAUCCCAUACAGCUCAGGUUGUCGUGCCACUAGCUUACCUUGGUUGUGUAUCUGCUUAUAGACUUUUUUCUUUAUUUCUUGCAUUUUUGGACUACCAAGAACAAGUUACAUUCUGUUAGAGUGACAAAGAGUAAUUGCAUUUUACGUGUUAUUUCUUGAUGGUAGAGGUACUUCAAACCUCAGAUUGAUUCCAGAUUUCAAAUAUCAGAAAGUUUGAUGCAGUCAGCUCAGGGUGUCCAAUUCUGACCUGUCUCCUGCAAACACAAUCAAAACCUUAUUAUAAGACUCAGAGCUCAGACAAAUGAUAAGCCAAGUCCAGGGAUCUGCCCAUAGUUCAUAUUUUUAGUGCAGGAAGAAUUGACUCAAAGGGAAAAUUGAUGUACAAGAAGAUGUGAUAAAGCUGACGUCCAGAUAGCAUUUGCUCUGCUGAAAUGUUACAACCUGAGCAAGACAAUCUGUGAAAGAGGUAAUUGAGCAUUUGAAAAGCACCUGUUAAUGACGGGUAAGAUAACAACCCCGAGGAACCACCUGUCAGGGCAGGUGAUGAACUCUCCCUCUGAUCUGUUUCUUACUACAGUUUUCUCCAGGGAAACUGGUAGCACAUUCACAUGUCUUUCUAGAGAAAGUUCAUAAUAACAGAGGAUUUAAAUAAACAGAAGAUUGAUUUUAAUGGAAGGUGAAUCAUUUGUAUUUCUUUUUUCUUUUAUCACGCAGCUGAAAUGUUUUAUCUAGCUUAGAUUAUGAGGAACGUAAAUAAAUUUAUGUUGAAUGUUAAAUAAACAUUUGCUUUCUUUUUUCCAA